AAGGUUUGCAACUUGCAAGUACUUGUUUGUUAGGUGUGACAAUGAGCCAGCUCCAUGGACAAGGUUGAUUUUUGUUCAUCAGUUUUUAUAUUUCUUGUGUGUUUGUACAACUGAAAGGAGGAGCUUGAAUAGUAACAGAUUAGAGCUAAGUUAGAGCAACAUUUUGCUUCUUGCGGGAAGGCUACUAGGGUGUCAAUCCCAAAAGAUUAUGACUCUGGCUAUGUGAAGGGGAUCAAGCUUCCUUUUGGUGCCAAGAAGACUGUGCCAAGUGAUUGCAGGGCUAUUAUUGGACAAGUUGCUAGAGGUGAAAGAACUAAGAAGCCCGUGUUAAAGGCUGGUAAUGAAGUUUAAAGUGAAGAGGAACUACUGGCCCAAGGUUCGUGGUGCACCUCAUGGACAGAAGGUUGGUCUGAUUGCUACCAAGAGGACUGUGUAACGGUAAAAAUGUGACUCGAGCGUUUUCACGCACUCGAAAUAUAACAGAGUCGCCACCGAACUUUAUUUAUUCCAAAAGGAAAGGGAAAAUAUCGAUAAAACCCAAGAGAUAAAAGAAAAAAAGGAUAAGAUGGUCGUCGCAACCAAAUUUGGGUUCGGGAAUCGGUUAAGCAAGGGGAAGGUAUUAGCACCCCUUACCUCCAUCGUACUCGAUGGGACCCAUUUAGUUAGUUUCGUGUUUGAGUGUUAGCGUGAUGUUUGCGUUCUUCUGGCUUAUUGAUCGAGAAAAGGUAAAAGAAAGGAUUUUUAGGAUCUUUAUUAUUAUGAAGAAAAAGAAAAGAUUUUUUAUUAUUAUGCUCGCCAAGACGUUUGUAUCUUGUGCCUACGUAUUCCCUAGUGCAAUGGGAAAGUCAGAGCAAUCGUAGUUCAGGCUAGGAACCACGAAAGUUUGUUGGUUGAUUUUAGCGAGAGGUACUCGAUCGCUUUCAAAUGUAGACAAUACUACACACACAUGGAUAUGAGAUCACUACAAGAAUGGAUAACUAAAUCAAGAGUAAGACAAGAUUUUGGCCAUCAUCGCAUUCGUUGGUUAAAAGGGGAUAUUGACGGACUUUUAGUAAAGGAUUGAGCAUAGGCGUCACCUAGCGCGUCUUUACCCAAGGUAUUCAACAGGAGCGAGCCCCAUUGUCACUUGUUGUCCUUGUUAUUUAAUGUAUUUUAAUUCAAAAGAUUAAGGUAUUCAAGAAGUGUUCACCCCUUGUCACUUAACCUCUUGGUUUGAUUAAUGUGUUUUAGUUCAAAAGAUCAAGGUAUUCAAGAGGUGUUCACCCCUUGUCAUACGAUCUUUCGGUAUGGUUAAGAAAAAGGUUUUCAAAAAGAAGGAGCUCGAAGUUGGAUCGAGAAUUAUUUGUAACGACUUGGCGUUGGC